GUCAGCAGAACAUAGCGGAGCAUUUAGCAGCCAAAGAGUCAGAUAUUUCCCUAAAGAGUUGGUGGAGAGCAAAACGAAGCAUAAAGAAGAGUGAUUAUUGACUUUCCAUUUGUCAGGUGGCCACA